rnacentral:rRNA from 1 species
UCCAGAAAGACGGCCAGGUGGUACCUCCCAUGGGGCAGGCGGAGAAAAGGCGGUAGAUUAUAUGGGAAGACCCCCCAGUGGGCGAAGGGCGCUUGUCUUGGUCUGUAACCGGCCGCUGAGGCUCGAAAAGCAUGGGUAGCGACCAGGAUUAGAUACCCUGGUAGUCCAUGCCGUAAACGAUGAAUGCUAGGUGUUGGAGGGUUUCCGCCCUUCAGUGCCGCAGCUAACGCAUUAAGCAUUCCGCCUGGGGAGUACGACCGCAAGGUUGAAACUCAAAGGAAUUGACGGGGGCCCGCACAAGCGGUGGAGCAUGUGGUUUAAUUCGAAGCAACGCGAAGAACCUUACCAGGUCUUGACAUCUUUUGAUCACCUGAGAGAUCAGGUUUCCCCUUCGGGGGCAAAAUGACAGGUGGUGCAUGGUUGUCGUCAGCUCGUGUCGUGAGAUGUUGGGUUAAGUCCCGCAACGAGCGCAACCCUUAUGACUAGUUGCCAGCAUUUAGUUGGGCACUCUAGUAAGACUGCCGGUGACAAACCGGAGGAAGGUGGGGAUGACGUCAAAUCAUCAUGCCCCUUAUGACCUGGGCUACACACGUGCUACAAUGGAUGGUACAACGAGUUGCGAGACCGCGAGGUCAAGCUAAUCUCUUAAAGCCAUUCUCAGUUCGGACUGUAGGCUGCAACUCGCCUACACGAAGUCGGAAUCGCUAGUAAUCGCGGAUCAGCACGCCGCGGUGAAUACGUUCCCGGGCCUUGUACACACCGCCCGUCACACCAUGAGAGUUUGUAACACCCGAAGCCGGUGGCGUAACCCUUUUAGGGAGCGAGCCGUCUAAGUGACCAAAAGUUGGGA